UGGUAAAACUUUCAUUCAUGUGUACUAUUAAAAACUAGUGUAAUUGAUGGAAUAAAAAAAAACACGCGGUGAGCCACUUAUACCAUAAGUUGGCAUAUAAGAAUAAAUUUUUAACAGUAGAAUUUGAUGAAAUUUUUAAUA
rnacentral:pre_miRNA from 1 species